rnacentral:rRNA from 1 species
GAAAUCUGGCUCCUUUCGGGGUCCGAGUUGUAAUUUGUAGAGGAUGCUUCGGGUGCGGCACCGGUCUAAGUCCCUUGGAACAGGGUGUCAUAGAGGGUGAGGAUCCCGUAUGUGACCGGCGACCAAGUCCAUGUGAAGCUCCUUCGACGAGUCGAGUUGUUUGGGAAUGCAGCUCAAAAUGGGUGGUAAAUUUCAUCUAAAGCUAAAUACCGGCCAGAGACCGAUAGCGCACAAGUAGAGUGAUCGAAAGAUGAAAAGCACUUUGGAAAGAGAGUCAAAAAGUACGUGAAAUUGUUGAAAGGGAAGCGCUUGUAACCAGACCUGCCGUCGGGUGUUCCGCGGGCAUUCUUGCCCGUCUACUCAUCCGCGAUCAGGCCAGCAU